UGGGGAAUAUUGCACAAUGGGCGCAAGCCUGAUGCAGCCAUGCCGCGUGUGUGAAGAAGGCCUUCGGGUUGUAAAGCACUUUCAGCGGGGAGGAAGGCGGUGAGGUUAAUAACCUCAUCGAUUGACGUUACCCGCAGAAGAAGCACCGGCUAACUCCGUGCCAGCAGCCGCGGUAAUACGGAGGGUGCAAGCGUUAAUCGGAAUUACUGGGCGUAAAGCGCACGCAGGCGGUCUGUCAAGUCGGAUGUGAAAUCCCCGGGCUCAACCUGGGAACUGCAUCUGAUACUGGCAAGCUUGAGUCUCGUAGAGGGGGGUAGAAUUCCCGGUGUAGCGGUGAAAUGCGUAGAGAUCUGGAGGAAUACCGGUGGCGAAGGCGGCCCCCUGGACGAAGACUGACGCUCAGGUGCGAAAGCGUGGGGAGCAAACAGG
rnacentral:rRNA from 1 species